AGCUUGCUUGGUGGAUCAGUGGCGAACGGGUGAGUAACACGUGAGCAACCUGCCCUGGACUCUGGGAUAAGCGCUGGAAACGGCGUCUAAUACUGGAUAUGAGACGUGAUCGCAUGGUCGUGUUUGGAAAGAUUUUUCGGUCUGGGAUGGGCUCGCGGCCUAUCAGCUUGUUGGUGAGGUAAUGGCUCACCAAGGCGUCGACGGGUAGCCGGCCUGAGAGGGUGACCGGCCACACUGGGACUGAGACACGGCCCAGACUCCUACGGGAGGCAGCAGUGGGGAAUAUUGCACAAUGGGCGAAAGCCUGAUGCAGCAACGCCGCGUGAGGGAUGACGGCCUUCGGGUUGUAAACCUCUUUUAGCAGGGAAGAAGCGAAAGUGACGGUACCUGCAGAAAAAGCGCCGGCUAACUACGUGCCAGCAGCCGCGGUAAUACGUAGGGCGCAAGCGUUAUCCGGAAUUAUUGGGCGUAAAGAGCUCGUAGGCGGUUUGUCGCGUCUGCUGUGAAAUCCCGAGGCUCAACCUCGGGCCUGCAGUGGGUACGGGCAGACUAGAGUGCGGUAGGGGAGAUUGGAAUUCCUGGUGUAGCGGUGGAAUGCGCAGAUAUCAGGAGGAACACCGAUGGCGAAGGCAGAUCUCUGGGCCGUAACUGACGCUGAGGAGCGAAAGGGUGGGGAGCAAACAGGCUUAGAUACCCUGGUAGUCCACCCCGUAAACGUUGGGAACUAGUUGUGGGGACCAUUCCACGGUUUCCGUGACGCAGCUAACGCAUUAAGUUCCCCGCCUGGGGAGUACGGCCGCAAGGCUAAAACUCAAAGGAAUUGACGGGGACCCGCACAAGCGGCGGAGCAUGCGGAUUAAUUCGAUGCAACGCGAAGAACCUUACCAAGGCUUGACAUAUACGAGAACGGGCCAGAAAUGGUCAACUCUUUGGACACUCGUAAACAGGUGGUGCAUGGUUGUCGUCAGCUCGUGUCGUGAGAUGUUGGGUUAAGUCCCGCAACGAGCGCAACCCUCGUUCUAUGUUGCCAGCACGUAAUGGUGGGAACUCAUGGGAUACUGCCGGGGUCAACUCGGAGGAAGGUGGGGAUGACGUCAAAUCAUCAUGCCCCUUAUGUCUUGGGCUUCACGCAUGCUACAAUGGCCGGUACAAAGGGCUGCAAUACCGCGAGGUGGAGCGAAUCCCAAAAAGCCGGUCCCAGUUCGGAUUGAGGUCUGCAACUCGACCUCAUGAAGUCGGAGUCGCUAGUAAUCGCAGAUCAGCAACGCUGCGGUGAAUACGUUCCCGGGUCUUGUACACACCGCCCGUCAAGUCAUGAAAGUCGGUAACACCUGAAGCCGGUGGCCCAACCCUUGUGG
rnacentral:rRNA from 1 species